AGGGAAGUAAAGUGAGUCAUCAGUGGUGGGUGGUGGGAGGUGGUGGUCAGGAUAGGGAAAUAAAGUGAGUCAUCAGUGGUGGGUGGUGGUGGGCAAGAUAGGGAAGUAAAGUGUCAUCAGUGGUGGGUGGUGGGAGGUGGUGGUCAGGAUAGGGAAGUAAAGUGAGUCAUCAGUGGUGGGUGGUGGUGGUCAGGAUAGGGAAGUAAAGUGAGUCAUCAGUGGUGGGUGGUGGUGGUCAGGAUAGGGAAAUAAAGUGAGUCA
rnacentral:lncRNA from 1 species